GUGGUGGAGAAGGUGCUGGACCGCCAGGUGGUGAAGGGCAAAGUGGAGUACCUGCUCAAGUGGAAGGGCUUCUCGGAUGAGGACAACACGUGGGAGCCCGAAGAGAACCUGGACUGCCCUGACCUCAUUGCUGAGUUCCUGCAGUCUCAGAAAACAGCACAUGAGACAGACAAAUCAGAGGGAGGCAAGCGCAAGGCUGACUCGGAUUCUGAAGAUAAGGGAGAGGAGAGCAAACCAAAGAAGAAGAAAGAAGAGUCGGAGAAGCCACGAGGCUUUGCCCGGGGUUUGGAGCCAGAGCGAAUUACUGGUGCCACGGACUCGAGUGGAGAGCUCAUGUUCCUCACGAAAUGGAAGAACUCUGAUGAGGCCGACCUGGUCCCUGCCAAGGAGGCCAACGUCAAGUGCCCACAGGUUGUCAUCUCCUUCUACGAGGAGCGGCUGACGUGGCACUCCUCCCCUUCGGAGGAUGACGACAAAAAAGACGACAAGACCUGAGUCUCCCAAGGACCAGCCCGUCGCCUCUAGCUGGGUCUCCAGGGGGUGGAAAGGCAUUCUGCUUGUCCUGA